GAGGCGGAACUUAGGUUUAGAUUCAGCUAUUUACAGCUGUUGGGACUCCAUUCAAAAUCCCCGAAACUGGCUUUUAACCAGUGGGGCGCUGGUUUGAGUCCAGCGCGGCUCA
rnacentral:tRNA from 1 species